rnacentral:rRNA from 1 species
UACGUAGGGUGCAAGCGUUGUCCGGAAUUAUUGGGCGUAAAGAGCUCGUAGGCGGUUUGUCGCGUCGAAUGUGAAAACCCGGGGCUCAACCCCGGGCCUGCAUUCGAUACGGGCAGACUAGAGUUCGGUAGGGGAGUCGUGGAAUUCCUGGGUGUAGCGGUGUAAAUGCGCGAUAUCAGGAGGAACACCGGUGGCGAAGGCGG